rnacentral:rRNA from 1 species
UACGUAGGGGGGCGAGCGUUUGUCCGGAUUUAUUGGGCGUAAAGAGCUCGUAGGUGGUUCGGUAAGUCGGAUGUGAAAUCUCCAGGCUCAACCUGGAGGGGUCAUUCGAUACUGCCGUGACUAGAGUUCGGUAGGGGAGUGUGGAAUUCCUGGUGGAGCGGUGAAAUGCGCAGAUAUCAGGAGGAACACCCGUAGCGAAGGCGGCACUCUGGGCCGAUACUGACACUGAGGAGCGAAAGCGUGGGGAGCGAACAGG